GACGAACGCUGGCGGCGUGCUUAACACAUGCGAGUCGAACGGAGAGGCCCUGCUUUUGUGGGGUGCUCGAGUGGCGAACGGGUGAGUAACACGUGAGUAACCUGCCCUUGACUUUGGGAUAACUUCAGGAAACUGGGGCUAAUACCGGAUAGGAGCUCCUGCUGCAUGGUGGGGGUUGGAAAGUUUCGGCGGUUGGGGAUGGACUCGCGGCUUAUCAGCUUGUUGGUGGGGUAGUGGCUUACCAAGGCUUUGACGGGUAGCCGGCCUGAGAGGGUGACCGGCCACAUUGGGACUGAGAUACGGACCAGACUCCUACGGGAGGCAGCAGUGGGGAAUAUUGCACAAUGGGCGGAAGCCUGAUGCAGCAACGCCGCGUGCGGGAUGACGGCCUUCGGGUUGUAAACCGCUUUCGCCUGUGACGAAGCGUGAGUGACGGUAAUGGGUAAAGAAGCACCGGCUAACUACGUG
rnacentral:rRNA from 1 species